rnacentral:rRNA from 1 species
AGAGUUUGAUCCUGGCUCAGGACGAACGCUGGCGGCGUGCUUAACACAUGCAAGUCGAACGGUAAGGCCCUUCGGGGUACACGAGUGGCGAACGGGUGAGUAACACGUGGGUAAUCUGCCCUGCACAUCGGGAUAAGCCUGGGAAACUGGGUCUAAUACCGAAUAGGACCACAGAACACAUGUCCUGUGGUGGAAAGCUUUUGCGGUGUGGGAUGGGCCCGCGGCCUAUCAGCUUGUUGGUGGGGUGAUGGCCCACCAAGGCGACGACGGGUAGCCGGCCUGAGAGGGUGUCCGGCCACACUGGGACUGAGAUACGGCCCAGACUCCUACCGGGAGGCAGCAGAAGGG